AUAAAUAUACAUUGUUAUAUUAUAUUAAAAUUUACGAGCCCCGAAAAUAAGCGUGUAAGAGAGAUUGGUAACUCUUUCUUGAAUUUAUGGAUGGUAGUGCAUGACGCUUCUUAAUUCCUUGGAGUGAUUUGUCUGGUUAAUUUCGAUAACGAACGAGACCCACAUAUAUUGAAUAGAUGCUUUUAUGGCCUCAACUUACGAGCAGAGUAAAAUGUGUGAGGUUGAUUUGGGCAAAUUGCAUCUAGCAAUAACGACAUUGAGCAAUAACAGAUCUGUGAUGCCAUUAGAUGUCCUGGACUGUACGUGCGCUGCAAUGAAAGUCUCAUUGUGUAUUUCCUAGACCGAGUGGUCUGCUUAAAAACCUGAGCCACUUUCGCGCUUGGGAUUGUGAACUGAAGUUGUUCACAUGACUUUGCAAUUUCCAGCAAGCGUUAGUCUUCAACUCGUAUUGGUUAC
rnacentral:ncRNA from 1 species